AAAACACCCAAAGUCUUCCAUUAUUUAAUUAAAUUGGAGAUCUCAGAAUGGUCUGGAUUAAUUUAACUGCAGCCUAGUUAAUUGCUAGAUGGAUUGGUGAUAGCCAUAGCCUCAUUACAUUUCCUUUGCUUUAGGAUAAGUGCAAGAAGGCUGCUUCCAGCUCCAAAGCACCUAAGAAUGGAGGUAAAGCGAAGGAUUCAGCAAAGACAACAGAGGAAACUUCCAAGCCAAAAGAUGACUAAAGAAAUACAAGUUAAGGUAUCUGGUAUCUGCAUGUAAAAUCUUCAGCUGGUGGAUGGUGACUUUUGAAGAACAAAAGGCUUUGGCAACAGAAAACAAUUGUUCUGGGUGAUUUCUAGAAUGGUUUUUGUUGAGUCUCUGAACAUCCUAAAUAUUGGUUUGUUAUUCUUUUCCAGAAAGAAAAUGAAUUUGACUGGUUCACCUGUGUACUGAGUAUUGAUAAACUUUGAAUUUUUUUAAUUGCCUUCAAUUGGGAGAGAAAGCUUUAUAUUUGUAAGAAAUAUAUUUGAUAAAGUUUCUUAAAGCAACACCAAAAAAACAAAAGAAAAGCUAAGUGAAUUUUUGCACAUUCUACACACAGUGCCUGUAAAUCUCAUUUGUAUUUUCAGUUUGCCCUUAAUUUUUUUUGUUAGUGUUUAGAAAACAAUGUUUUAAACAUUCUUCAGUGUUCUGAUUUCUUAUUACCCCCUUUCCUCUUGGGCUUUUGAACUGUAUUUGAUGUUGCUUUGGGAUAAUGUUUAUAAGUCAAACAUAAGAUAUUGUACAUUGGGCACAUAUCUCCUCUUGGGCUGCUAAUAAUAAAUUAAUAACAGGUAACCUGGACAAACCAGGAAGCACCAAACCCCUUUUCAGUUUGAACUCUUCUUUGCCAGGUGUGAGGACUUCUGCAUCUUACAGUCAGCACAGAACACACUGAGACUUGAAUCAAGUCAGCAACAGAGCAAAAUAAAGGUUAGAUAAGUCCUUGUGUAGCAAAUUUCGAGCAUAAGAAAUAAAAUCUAAUUAAUUCUUAGGGUACUCAUCUGACUUGAACUCUGUUGGUUUACUGUGUUAGUAAACUGUGCUUUCUAUUAUCUAUACAUAAAACCUGAGCAGCAACUGUGUCUUUAGAGCUAUUGCCACAUUAGCCUUUGCACUGUAUAGCGUCUGGCUUUAUGGAACUUAAGUUU
rnacentral:lncRNA from 1 species